CCAACGUGGACAACCCAGGAGGUCACUCUGCCUGGGCUCUGUCCUAGUGGCAUAGGGGAGCAUAGGCCUUGCCCAGUGACGUACAGUCCCUUUCCACGGCGUUGGAGAUGAAGCUGGGCUUUGUGCCCGCGCCUGCAUAUUCCUACGACUUCUCAGUCCUGUGGACAGUGACUGAGGAGGCAAACCAUGCAGGAAACAGUG
rnacentral:snoRNA from 1 species